rnacentral:rRNA from 1 species
UACCAGCUCUUCGAGUGGUGUGGAUGUUUAUUGGGCCUAAAGCAUCCGUAGCUGGCUGGGCAAGUCCCCUGUUAAAUCCACCGAUUUAAUCGUUGGAGUGCGGGGGAUACUGUUCGGCUAGGGGACGGGAGAGGCAGACGGUAUUUUCGGGGUAGGGGUGAAAUCCUAUAAUCCCGGGAAGACCACCAGUGGCGAAGGCUGUCUGCCAGAACGCGCCCGACGGUGAGGGAUGAAAGCUGGGGGAGCGAACCGGAUUAGAUACCCGGGUAGUCCCAGCUGUAAACGAUGCAGGCUAGGUGUUUGGGCGGCCACGUGCCGCUCUAGUGCCGCAGGGAAGCCGUUAAGCCUGCCGCCUGGGGAGUACGGCCGCAAGGCUGAAACUUAAAGGAAUUGGCGGGGGAGCACCACAAGGGGUGAAGCUUGCGGUUU